GGGACAUUCGCGGCCCGUCCUGUCCAUUCGCCCCUGUCGCUGGCGCCUUGUCUCCUUUUUUCCCCAGUCAUUUCCGCCGAGUUGCUUUUUUUGUUUUUGUUUUUUGAUGGAUCGAUCGCGCGCGGCACGAGAGGGCGACUAGAGGCAAGGGCCGCCGACGCGACACAUGCGCGCCAACAGACCGUCGAGUUGGAGCCGCGUGCCGAGUCCGUUCACGACGCGCUCGUGCGUGAUGCCGAUUUCCUGACAGAGUCGGCCGGCGCCCCGUCGCCCGCCCGCACAAAAAUGGCGCCACAGCCAAAGGAGACGGCAGUCAGCGCAGAUGUCACAGCCACUCUUACGCAACAAUGACACGUAAAAAAGACAGCGCGAGG
rnacentral:lncRNA from 1 species